rnacentral:rRNA from 1 species
GACGAACGCUGGCGGCGUGCUUAACACAUGCAAGUCGAGCGGAGAGGCGAACGGGUGAGUAACGCGUGAGUAACUGCCCCCCUCUCUGGGAUAACAGUUGGAAACGGAUGCUAAUACCGGAUAGUGGGGGAUGACUCGCGUCCUAUCAGCUUGUUGGUGGGGUAGUGGCCGACCUAGGCGACGACGGGUAGCCGGCCUGAGAGGGCGACCGGCCACUUUGGGCUGAGUGAGGGCCCAGAAUCCUACGGGGGGCAGCAGUGGGGAAUAUUUCACAAUGUGGGAGACCCUGAUGCAGCAGCGCCGCGUGCGGGAUGACGGCCUUGGGGUUGUAAACCGCUUUCAGCCAUGACGCGGUAGUGGCAGAAGAAGCACCGGCUAACUACGUGCCAGCCGCCGCGGUAAUAC